CACGUGAGCUGCUUUGUGAUGGCUGAUCUCUUCCAUCAGAUAACUGCAAGAUUCUUUAAGGCAAUGAAACCCUCAGUGAAAGAAAUUCAGGCUGCCUUGCCUUUUUCUGUAGGACAGGAGCCUCACAAAGCACUUAGCUCAUCCUGAGUCAGGACUUAAGCCUGGGAGGAGGCAAAACCUGUGGGCUAUUAGGAUGAGGGAAACUGGAAACGGCCUCUCGCUGUCAGAUUUCACUCAUUCGUGUUAACCCAAGGUUUCCCCAAAGGCUGCAGAACAAAUUCCUUCUGUGCAGGAAGUGCUUGGGCUGCAAAGGAAAGCGCUAAUCCAGAAGUUCAAAGCCUGUGUGAGGAAAUAUAAUGCUUCCUCCAGAGACUUUUCAGGGGAGAGUGGUUGACCACAAGAAAAUAAAGGCUCCUGCAGCUGAUCAUAAGCCUGUGUGAGAGGGCUGUUGAGGAGGCACCUAGGAAUGACUGCCAUUCCACUUUAUGAAUCAGCAGGGAGAGAGCUGCCCAGGCCAGAUUUUGGGAGAUGUCUGGGCUGUCUGCCGCCUCUCAGACCAUGGGAAUCCUGCAGGGAAACAAAAGGGAGACCGAGGAGUCUGGGGACUGUGGGAAUUCAAGGCACCAUAGAUCAUGAUGAUGGCUGGAUUGACACAAGUGCCGUGUAGGCAUGACGGUGCCUGCUGUGAGCAGAGACCUGAGCUCCAGUCCAGCAGUGCUAUGUCAUGUAAAGAAUAGGAUCAAGUCUACCUACAACAUACUGGAUAUGUGUUUUCUGACCUGCUAAAACCUUCUAUUCAUAGAAGUUUCCCAACAAACUUUGACACGUCUAUUUUGGACAGAUGAAUCCAGCCAUUGGCUGUUUGAGAGCGCACAAAACCCCAAUUUGCUUUAGGUCCCCUGGCAAGCCUUGGUGUUGAAGCAAGCAAGCAAGCACAAGCAAGACCAUUUUAAUGUAUGUCAGUUUGGGCACCACAAACCUUAGUCACCUGAGAAAAUUUAAGCCAAUUCUUGUCCAGCUCAGGAACUCAAAGCACUUUGAAAGCAUGAAGGAAUUAAACCACAUGUCUUGUCUGAGCUACAUGAGCCUACAAAUCCCAAACAUGAAUUCAGCCAUCACCCUCCAACAGUGAUGUCAGCUUGCUGCUAUGGAGACAGUGACUUCAUGAGGAUGUCCGGCAGAUGAAAAAUUUCAGAGGCUGCCAAAGAGAUGACUAGUAGCUCCAAAAGAGCAGUAGUGGUUUGGACAAGACAGGCAUCCAUCUAGAAUGGACCACCAGCUUGUCUUUAUGGAAGAUAUCAAUCCCAGACACCUCUGGGAACUGACCUUCUGAUGUUGUUGGCCUUUGCCACCUUGGAACCACUGACCCAGAAGAAUGGAUGAGACUUAAACCCCAUUUGCUAAAUAUUGGGUUCGUAUUGUUUUUGCCUGAUCCUCCCCAUUGGGAUUCCUAAUUGAAUUACUUGCGCCGUGUGUAGCACCGAGGCAGUAAUUACAGAAGAUCUUGCGUUCGGCUGUGCUUCUGCUGAGGCUGAGCAAAUAGGAUUAGAAUUCUUCUUCCCAAAUCUGCAGUGCAAAUUAAAUGUUUAUUCUUUCAUGUAGGGAAAAUGUCAGCUGUUUCAAAUUACCUGUGAAAGAUCUCAAAUGAUUGGGAAUCAUGAAAGAUAAAAGUCCAAAUUCUGAUUGAAAAUGUUCUGUAGGUUUGGGGGGGUUUUCCACCCUUUUUCUCUUUUUGGAUUGAG